rnacentral:rRNA from 1 species
GUGAGGAAUUUUCCGCAAUGGGCGAAAGCCUGACGGAGCAAUGCCGCGUGAAGGAUGAAGGCCUAUGGGUUGUAAACUUCUUUUCUCAGAAAAGAAUUAUGACGGUAUCUGAGGAAUAAGCAUCGGCUAACUCUGUGCCAGCAGCCGCGGUAAGACAGAGGAUGCAAGCGUUAUCCGGAAUGAUUGGGCGUAAAGCGUCGGUAGGUUGUUUAAAAAGUAUUCUGUCAAAGAUUAGGGCUUAACCCUAGAUAGGCAGAAUAAACUUUUAAGCUAGAGUUUGGUAGAGGCAGAGGGAAUUCCCGGUGGAGCGGUGAAAUGCGUAGAUAUCGGGAGGAACACCAAAGGCGAAGGCACUCUGCUGGGCCAAUACUAACACUGAGAGACGAAAGCGAGGGGAGCAAAUGGGAUUAGAUACCCGGGUAGUCC